rnacentral:rRNA from 1 species
GAUGAACGCUGGCGGCGUGCCUAAUACAUGCAAGUCGAGCGAACAGACGAGGAGCUUGCUCCUCUGACGUUAGCGGCGGACGGGUGAGUAACACGUGGAUAACCUACCUAUAAGACUGGGAUAACUUCGGGAAACUGGAGCUAAUACCGGAUAAUAUAUUGAACCGCAUGGUUCAAUAGUGAAAGACGGUUUUGCUGUCACUUAUAGAUGGAUCCGCGCCGCAUUAGCUAGUUGGUAAGGUAACGGCUUACCAAGGCAACGAUGCGUAGCCGACCUGAGAGGGUGAUCGGCCACACUGGAACUGAGACACGGUCCAGACUCCUACGGGAGGCAGCAGUAGGGAAUCUUCCGCAAUGGGCGAAAGCCUGACGGAGCAACGCCGCGUGAGUGAUGAAGGUCUUCGGAUCGUAAAGCUCUGUUAUUAGGGAAGAACAAAUGUGUAAGUAACUAUGCACGUCUUGACGGUACCUAAUCAGAAAGCCACGGCUAACUACGUG